rnacentral:rRNA from 1 species
GUAGCUGGUCUGAGAGGAUGRCCAGCCACACUGGAACUGAGACACGGUCCAGACUCCUACGGGAGGCAGCAGUGGGGAAUAUUGGACAAUGGGGGAAACCCUGAUCCAGCAAUGCCGCGUGUGUGAAGAAGGCCUGAGGGUUGUAAAGCACUUUCAGUGGGGAGGAGGAUUGAUAGGUUAAGAGCUAGKUAAUUGGACGUUACCCACAGAAGAAGCACCGGCUAACUCCGUGCCAGCAGCCGCGGUAAUACGGAGGGUGCGAGCGUUAAUCGGAAUUACUGGGCGUAAAGGGUGCGUAGGUGGUUGAAUAAGUUAUCUGUGAAAUCCCUGGGCUUAACCUGGGCAGGUCAGAUAAGACUGUUUGACUCGAGUAUGG